rnacentral:rRNA from 1 species
UACGGGGGGUGCGAGCGUUGUCCGGAAUCACUGGGCGUAAAGGGCGCGUAGGCGGCAGGCCAAGCGUGCGGUGAAAGUCCGGGGCUCAACCCCGGAUCUGCCGUGCGGACUGGUUUGCUGGAGCACUGUAGAGGCGAGUGGAAUUCCGGGUGUAGCGGUGGAAUGCGUAGAGAUCCGGAAGAACACCGGUGGCGAAGGCGGCUCGCUGGGCAGUGGCUGACGCUGAGGCGCGACAGCGUGGGGAGCAAACAGG